AUGAACGCUAGCGGCAGGCUUAACACAUGCAAGUCGAGGGGCAGCAUAAUGGAUAGCAAUAUCUAUGGUGGCGACCGGCGCACGGGUGCGUAACGCGUAUGCAACCUACCUUUAACAGGGGGAUAACACUGAGAAAUUGGUACUAAUACCCCAUAAUAUCAUAGAAGGCAUCUUUUAUGGUUGAAAAUUCCGAUGGUUAGAGAUGGGCAUGCGUUGUAUUAGCUAGUUGGUGGGGUAACGGCUCACCAAGGCGACGAUACAUAGGGGGACUGAGAGGUUAACCCCCCACACUGGUACUGAGACACGGACCAGACUCCUACGGGAGGCAGCAGUGAGGAAUAUUGGUCAAUGGACGCAAGUCUGAACCAGCCAUGCCGCGUGCAGGAUGACGGCUCUAUGAGUUGUAAACUGCUUUUGUACGAGGGUAAACGCAGAUACGUGUAUCUGUCUGAAAGUAUCGUACGAAUAAGGAUCGGCUAACUCCGUGCCAGCAGCCGCGGUAAUACGGAGGAUUCAAGCGUUAUCCGGAUUUAUUGGGUUUAAAGGGUGCGUAGGCGGUUUGAUAAGUUAGAGGUGAAAUUUCGGGGCUCAACCCUGAACGUGCCUCUAAUACUGUUGAGCUAGAGAGUAGUUGCGGUAGGCGGAAUGUAUGGUGUAGCGGUGAAAUGCUUAGAGAUCAUACAGAACACCGAUUGCGAAGGCAGCUUACCAAACUAUAUCUGACGUUGAGGCACGAAAGCGUGGGGAGCAAACAGGAUUAGAUACCCUGGUAGUCCACGCAGUAAACGAUGAUAACUCGUUGUCGGCGAUACACAGUCGGUGACUAAGCGAAAGCGAUAAGUUAUCCACCUGGGGAGUACGUUCGCAAGAAUGAAACUCAAAGGAAUUGACGGGGGCCCGCACAAGCGGUGGAGCAUGUGGUUUAAUUCGAAGCAACGCGAAGAACCUUACCUGCUCUUGACAUCCCGGUGACGGCAGAGUAAUGUCUGCUUUUCUUCGGAACACCGGUGACAGGUGGUGCAUGGUUGUCGUCAGCUCGUGCCGUGAGGUGUCGGCUUAAGUGCCAUAACGAGCGCAACCCUUAUCGAUAGUUACCAUCAGGUGAUGCUGGGGACUCUGUCGAGACUGCCGUCGUAAGAUGUGAGGAAGGUGGGGAUGACGUCAAAUCAUCAUGCCCCUUAUGACUUGGGCUACACACGUGCUACAAUGGCGUAAACAAAGGGAAGCGAACCUGCGAGGGUAAGCAAAUCCCAAAAAUAACGUCCCAGUUCGGACUGCAGUCUGCAACUCGACUGCACGAAGCUGGAAUCGCUAGUAAUCGCGGAUCAGAAUGCCGCGGUGAAUACGUUCCCGGGCCUUGUACACACCGCCCGUCACACCAUGAGAGUUGGGGAUACCCGAAGCCUGUGAGCCAACAUAUCUAUGAGGCAGCAGUCGAAGGUAGAAUCAAUGAUUGGGGUG
rnacentral:rRNA from 1 species